rnacentral:rRNA from 1 species
AUGUGCCCUGUCCGGUGUAAGCUAAACAUAGAUGGAGGACAGUGGGUGGUCAAUGAGUAUUUUGACGAGCACAACCACCAACUCAUAAAGAAGUUCGACCUGAUAAAAUUUCUGACCGUCCACAGAGGGUUCACCCCCGUCGAAAGGCAAUUCGUAAAGCUGCUACAUGAUUGUAACGUCGGUCCAUCAAGAAUGGUACAUAUACUAUCUCUCAUCCACAGCAAAAAGGGGACUCUGAGUAGCAUGCCGUACAUACCAGCCGACGUCACAAACCUAUAGGCCAAGUACCAUAGAGAGAGCAAGUUGGCAGACAUAGAGGCCACAAUGGCCUACUUCGAUGAGAAAGCGAAGGAAGAUCCAGAUUUCUUCUACAGGAUAAGGUUGGACGAUGAGGACCGUGUCAGGAACAUGUAUUGGGUGGAUGGUGCUGCAAGGAGAGCCUACAAACAUUUCCGAGAUUGCAUUUCAUUCGACGCGACGUACCUCACCAAUAUGUACAAGAUGCCACGCGCUCCGUUCAUAGGAAUAAAUAACCACAACACGGAUGGGUAUGUUUGGCUGUUCAAGACCUUCUUGGAGUGCAUGGAUGGACUUGCUCUGAUGAACAUAAUAACAGACCAAGAUUUCAGCAUGCGUGCAGGCAUAGAGGAGGUCUUUCCGUUGGCAGUGCACAGGCACUGCAGGUGGCACAUUAUAAAGAAGGCUGAGGAGACGCUAGGACCAUUCUUUGCUACUACGCAGCGCAGCGAGGGGUUCAAUGUUAUUUUGAAGUGACGGGACGGCAUUGUGUGCUGUCACAUACUAAAACUAAUGGACAUGAACGCUGUGACACGGAUGCCCCGCCAUUUCAUAAGACGGCGAUGGACUUGGGACGCUGACGACGCGUUGGCGCCGCAGACAACACACGCAGUUCUGAUUGUGCAUGAUGAGAGACCUGAGUCAACCAUGGAAGCCGUGAGGCACGUUGUGCUGACAAAGAACUAUGCCGAGCUAAUUGAUGAAGCGUGCAAGAGUGAUGAGACAGCGAGAGUCACAGAAAAACACAAGAAGGCACUGAAAAGAGAGGUUGAUGAGAUCAAGAAGAGGAAAGCUGAGGAAGCAUUACACCGGUUCCCCCGCACAUCAAGUGUGCCUUCAUCCACGGGGCCAUCAUCUGAAAACUCGGAGAUAGGAUCUGGAAUAGCAAGCACGCAGACCCAGGUCAGGAACCCACCCCGUUCCAUCACAAAGGGUCGUCCAAGAGAGAUAAGGUACAAGUCGGGAUUGGAGAUUCAAGCAAAACACAAAAAAACGAAGAAAGGGGCGGGCAAUCCAUGA